GGAAUGGGAGUGCCCGUCAUGCAACUAUGUGAAUUUUGUGAGAAACAGGGCAUGCAGGAAGUGCGAUUGUGCUCGCCCUAGUGAUGACAAGAGAAACAGUUUCGACGAUCAUGCAUGGAGGAAACCAAAUAUGUCCAGCAGGAAUUCCAGUUUCAAGUUUGUGGCUACCGUUGAUGAAGUUGGUGAUGAUGAAGAUGAUCGCAUCUUUCCACUUGAGGAAAAU
rnacentral:misc_RNA from 1 species